CAGCGGUCAGCCAUGUGUGGAAGAAGUGAGAAAGCAAGGAAGUUUUCGAAGUUAUAAAAUCGGAAGAAUUUUGUGAGUCCAUGCGCAAGAGUCAGAUGACAAUUACUAUUUGAACUACAGAAUGACUCCGAUUGAGGCUCGAGAUCUGUUGCCGCAAGCGGUAAUAGAGCGUCAACUCUCUGAGCUGCAAAGCUCCUUAAGGCCCACAGAGGAGCCAAGGGAGCCUAGGGAUGGAGAGCCAACCUGCGUUGUCUGCUUAACGAGCAAAGCAACGUGGUUGUGUUCGCCCUGUGGGCACACAAUUUUGUGUGCAGGUUGUGUUGGUAGGUUUGUCAACACUCCACUUUAUCACACAGUGAUAACGCUAAGUGGUACAACCUAUGCAACCAACAAAAGACUGUCAUUGUCCUGCACUACUUGUAGGGCAAUUAUUGGUCAAAUAAUUUAUGUAUUUUAAAAUAAUUAAGAUUAUGAACAGUGGUCACUGGUAUUAAAGAGUUCAGAGAUUAACGAAA